rnacentral:lncRNA from 1 species
CAAAAUCAAGACCAGUUAAAUGAUUUCUCCAAGGUAGUAUCAAUACUUUGAACAUACGGGUUUAAAUUAUUUCUUCUAUAGUCCUCUAAGUGGAAUUACCAAUUUAAAGACAUUAAUUCUUUAAUGGCCCAUUGCUAGGUAGAUUUUCUGAACAAUCAAAUAAAAAUUGCACUGCUGCAAAUUAUGUAUUACUCUCCCUGCCCUCCAACCCCAACUGCCACCAACCAGUGCUUCUAAUUUUGAGCCUUAAUUUAUUUAAAAGUUUUAAUUGUUGUGUAAUUGUGCCCCACAAUGUCCAUUUUCAUAUCAAAGAAGCCUAGCAAGGCUGUGCAUUUUUCAUUUUGGUAAUUUGAUAUUUGCAAGUCUGCAUGUGUAAAUAGUUUGUCGAUGAUUAAUAGUUUA